UACGUAGGUGACAAGCGUUGUUCGGAAUUAUUGGGCGUAAAGGGCGCGUAGGCGGGAUGGCAAGUCGGUCGUGAAAUCCCUCGGCUCAACUGAGGAUCGUCGAUCGAUACUGCCGUUCUUGAGGAUUGCAGAGGAGACUGGAAUUCCCGGUGUAGCGGUGAAAUGCGUAGAUAUCGUAAGGAAGACCAGUGGCGAAGGCGGGUCUCUGGACAGUUCCUGACGCUGAGGCACGAAGGUCAGGGGAGCAAACGGG
rnacentral:rRNA from 1 species